rnacentral:rRNA from 1 species
UACAGAGGUGGCAAGCGUUGUUCGGAAUUACUGGGCGUAAAGGGCGCGUAGGCGGUCGCCUUAGUCGGACGUGAAAUCCCCAGGCUUAACUUGGGAACUGCGUCCGAUACUGGGUGACUCGAGUUCGGGAGAGGAAUGUGGAAUUCCAGGUGUAGCGGUGAAAUGCGUAGAUAUCUGGAGGAACACCGGUGGCGAAGGCGGCAUUCUGGACUGUAACUGACGCUGAGGCACGAAAGCGUGGGGAGCAAAC